rnacentral:rRNA from 1 species
CCUACGGGAGGCAGCAGUGGGGAAUAUUGCGCAAUGGGCGAAAGCCUGACGCAGCGACGCCGCGUGAGGGAUGAAGGUCUUCGGAUCGUAAACCUCUGUCAGCAGGGAAGAACGGUCACUGUGCUAAUCAGCAGUGAAUUGACGGUACCUGCAAAGGAAGCACCGGCUAACUCCGUGCCAGCAGCCGCGGUAAUACGGAGGGUGCGAGCGUUAAUCGGAGUUACUGGGCGUAAAGCGCGCGUAGGCGGUAUGUCAAGUCAAGGGUGAAAUCCCCGGGCUCAACCAGGGAAGUUCCUUUGAAACUGGUGAACUGGAGUGUGUGAGAGGAUAGUGGAAUUCCAGGUGUAGGAGUGAAAUGCGUAGAUAUCUGGCGGAACAUCAGUGGCGAAGGCGACUAUCUGGCACAUAACUGACGCUGAGGAGCGAAAGCGUGGGUAGCAAACAGGAUUAGAUACCCUGGUAGUC